rnacentral:rRNA from 1 species
UGGGGAAUAUUGCACAAUGGACGGAAGUUUGAUGCAGCGACGCCGCGUGGAGGGUGUAGGCCUUCGGGUUGUGAACUCCUUUUUCUCGCGAAAAAGGCACAGUUUUGGCUGUGUUGAUGGUAGUGGGGGAAGAAGCGCCGGCUAACUACGUGCCAGCAGCCGCGGUAAUACGUAGGGCGCGAGCGUUGUCCGGAUUUAUUGGGCGUAAAGAGCUCGUAGGUGGUUCGUCGCGUCAGUCGUGAAAGCCAGCAGCUUAACUGUUGGUCUGCGGUGGGUACGGGCGGGCUUGAGUGCGGUAGGGGUGACUGGAAUUCCUGGUGUAGCGGUGGAAUGCGCAGAUAUCAGGAGGAACACCGAUGGCGAAGGCAGGUCACUGGGCCGUUACUGACACUGAGGAGCGAAAGCGUGGGGAGCGAACAGG